UACGUAGGUGGCAAGCGUUAUCCGGAAUUAUUGGGCGUAAAGAGCGCGCAGGUGGUUGAUUAAGUCUGAUGUGAAAGCCCACGGCUUAACCGUGGAGGGUCAUUGGAAACUGGUCGACUUGAGUGCAGAAGAGGGAAGUGGAAUUCCAUGUGUAGCGGUGAAAUGCGUAGAGAUAUGGAGGAACACCAGUGGCGAAGGCGGCUUCCUGGUCUGUAACUGACACUGAGGCGCGAAAGCGUGGGGAGCAAACAGGAUUAGAUACCCCGUUA
rnacentral:rRNA from 1 species